GCACAUACCCACUGGCACAUACCCAGUGACCCAAGUUGGUGUUGAAGAGGUUCAUUGAAGAGUGGCACAUACCCACUGGCACAUACCCAGUGACCCAAGUUGGUGUUGAAGAGGUUCAUUGAAGAGUGGCACAUACCCACUGGCACAUACCCAGUGACCCAAGUUGGUGUUGAAGAGGUUCAUUGAAGAGUGGCACAUACCCACUGGCACAUACCCAGUGACCCAAGUUGGUGUUGAAGAGGUUCAUUGAAGAGUGGCAUAUACCCACUGGCACAUACCCAGUGACCCAAGUUGGUGUUGAAGAGGUUCAUUGAAGAGUGGCACAUACCCACUGGCACAUACCCAGUGACCCAAGUUGGUGUUGAAGAGGUUCAUUGAAGAGUGGCACAUACCCAGUGACCCAAGUUGGUGUUGAAGAGGUUCGUUGAAGAGUGGCACAUACCCACUG
rnacentral:lncRNA from 1 species